rnacentral:tRNA from 13 species
AGCCACCAGCGAGAUUCGAACUCGCGACCCUGGUUUACGAGACCAGUGCUCUAACCUCUGAGCUAUGGUGGC